rnacentral:lncRNA from 1 species
AUGGUCUCUCUGCCUCGCUUUAUCUAUCUGUUUCAGAACUUACCUAUAUAUUUGCCACAUUCUUUUUUUAAACAAUUAGAUUCUGUCAUUUUGCCAUUCAUUUGGGGCUUUAAAGCACAUAGAAUUUCUAAGGCCCAUUUGCAGAAACCGAAAGAGUUGGGUGGUUUAGCGCUACCUGUUUUCCGUCACUAUUAUUGGGCUGCUAAUGCCAGGACUAUGAUGUUCUGGAGGAUUAGCGAUCAAGCUGCCGAUAACUUGAUGGAUACACAUCCAAAGUGGCUAUAUAUUGAGGCUCGGUCGGUUGUUGGUAGCUCCCUAGCUGCUAUUCUUUUUUCUAAUCCUGUAUCUUUAAGGAAGUUACAAUGUAAUAAUUUUGUUGUGCUCAGUUCCAUUAGAAUUUUAAAACAAAUGAAGAUGGAGUUGAACAUCACAUGUCCUUCUGUGCACCUGCCCAUUUGCAAUAAUCAAAAUUUUUUGCCUGGCCAGUCGGAUAAGGUAUUUUCAUUGUGGAGAGGCAAAGGACUAACCACGGUCAAGGACUUUUAUAUAGAUGGAAAAUUUGCCACUUUUGAACACUUGUAUAAAACCUUUGAUCUUUCCCAAUCACAUUUUUUCAGAUAUUUACAGGUGCGUCACUACAUAAAAUAUUCUUUUAACGAGUUUCAGGAUUUACCUCAGGAUCAUGAUAUGUAUGAUCUUUGGGGUCAACCUCCUAUGGACAAACAUUUGGUGACACGGUUUGUUUCUUUGUUUGUUUCUCAUUUUGAAGUGUCUUCAGAUCACCUUAAAGUAGCAUGGGAAAAUGAUACCGGAAUUAAUAUCUCAAACGAGAUUUGGGAAGAGGUACUGAAACGAAUUCAUACCUGCUCUAAUAAUUCUAGAUUACAACUUAUACAGUUUAAAGUAUUGCAUAGGUUACACUAUACCAAAACUAAACUCAAUAAAUUUUACUCUUCAGUUUCCCCAUUAUGUGAUAGAUGUAAAAGCUCAGAUGGCACACAUGCUCAUUCUUUUUGGUUUGCCCUGAGAUUUCUGAGUUUUGGAAGUAUAUUAGUCCAGAUCUUGAAUUAG